UACGGAGGGUGCGAGCGUUGUCCGGAAUCACUGGGCGUAAAGGGCGCGUAGGUGGCGCGGGAAGUCAACGGUGAAAGCUCAGGGCUCAACCCUGAGUCGGCCGUCGAUACUCCUGGGCUCGAGCACUGUAGAGGCAGAUGGAAUUCCGGGUGUAGCGGUGGAAUGCGUAGAGAUCCGGAAGAACACCGGUGGCGAAGGCGGUCUGCUGGGCAGUAGCUGACACUGAGGCGCGACAGCGUGGGGAGCAAACGGG
rnacentral:rRNA from 1 species